rnacentral:rRNA from 1 species
AUACGGAGGAUCCGAGCGUUAUCCGGAUUUAUUGGGUUUAAAGGGAGCGUAGGCGGACGCUUAAGUCAGUUGUGAAAGUUUGCGGCUCAACCGUAAAAUUGCAGUUGAUACUGGGUGUCUUGAGUACAGUAGAGGCAGGCGGAAUUCGUGGUGUAGGGGUGAAAUGCUUAGAUAUCACGAAGAACUCCGAUUGCGAAGGCAGCCUGCUGGACUGUAACUGACGCUGAUGCUCGAAAGUGUGGGUAUCAAACAGGAUUAGAUACCCUGGUAGUCCACACAGUAAACGAUGAAUACUCGCUGUUUGCGAUAUACAGUAAGCGGCCAAGCGAAAGCGUUAAGUAUUCCACCUGGGGAGUACGCCGGCAACGGUGAAACUCAAAUGAAUUGGCGGGG